UAUUGCAAUCUGACAAAAAGACACUCUCUCUGACUCUCUCUAUUUUCUUACGCUACCCGGCCACGCAUCUUCAAAUCCAUAUUUUCUGUUUCUUCUCAUCCACACAAAUUUCUCACUAUUCUCCCUUUCUUUUCAAGCCUUUCUAUUAUCAUACAUCUGUGUUAUGAUUUUUUUGAUGGAUUGGAAUUUUUGUUAUGUUUUUUGAUUUUGAUUUUUGAUUUUUGGCUUACAAAACUCUCCGCUUUGGAUCGUGAGCACGCCAAAAUCUACCCAAUGGAGCUACGGGCUACGAAUGAGGUUCAUGCUAGCCUGGAAGAAUUGAAACGGCAUCUUGAGGCUUGAAACCCAAGCAGAUCAUCCACUUAUGUACCCUCUUGCAUGUCCUUUCAUGGGCUUAUAUCUUAGCAAUUUGGAAGUUUAUGAAGAAGAAGCUAAUAAGGUUGACCCUAACUGGUCUGUUUCCAUUUCGGCACGUUCGUCUGCAUGACCUUUGGUGGAAGGAAAGGCGGAUUGUACUGGAGAUUGUCGGCUUUGGUUCGCAAAAAAGGAACAGUAGUAAAGAUGAUAUAUUCGAACUCGAUGGUUGCAUUCGUAAACUCUGUAAAUAUAGAAAAUACAACCAUGAUCUCAAGAUUAGCCAUAGGGCAGAUACUUAAUUAGCGAUUCUCCAAUGCCGCAUGGAGAAAUAGUUAUCGGUGAACAAAAUGUUACCCUUGGAUAUUUCAAAAUGACGAGAAAUCAAAGGAAGUGUACAAUGUUGAUGAGAAAGGAAUGAGGAGGUUCUAUACGGGUGAUGUAGGGCGAUUCCAUGUUGACUUAUAAGCAAGUUGAGUUUGAAAUUAUAAGCAAACUAGUAUGGCCUCAUACAUAGUUUUCUUUAUAUUGCAGUGGCCCUUGUUUCCCUUAAAAAUCUUUUCUAUUGAUCUUCAAUACAUAUUAAGGCUUUCUGGAUUGUGCUGAAAUAAUGGAUGUUGCUUGAAGAAGGGCUCGUUGUACACCUAUGGAGAUCAUAGGUUUUAUUUAUCAUAUAUGGCUGGAACUUUUAGAGAAACCUCACAUGCAUUGUGCUGGAACCAUUAAAUGAUCAAGCAUUUAGUUGUUUGAUUCAUUCACUUCCAAGGAAAUUGAAUUUGUCUAUUUGUUAACGUUUAAUUUGUUUCAUUCUUCAAUGGCAUUUGUCCAGUUUCUAAGAAUUGAGGGGUGAUAGAUAUUUUGGAUGAUGGUACAAAAUACAGGUGGAUACUUUAUUUUUGGAUGUGUUUUUUGCCAACUAGAAAGAAUUAUUUGGAUA